UUGCAUUUUUCACGUGAAAGCUUUCUACGUUUUCUACCAGUCCUUUUGACCUUCUGCAAAAGACAAAAACGAAAACAACAACGGCGGGCAAGGGGGAGGUCCAUUUAAGUAGAAAAGUCUGAAGAGCCUUGUUUCAUUGUCUAUAGACGUGGGACUAGACAGGCUUCGUUCUGAAGAGGCCCUAGAGAAAUAAUGAGGGGGGGGGGGUCCCUACAGCUUCCGCUGGGUAGAUGAAAUUUGUAAUUGGGGCAGCGUGGCGUCUCAGCCAUAUACCUUUGUCUGGUCAACAGACCUUCUGUUUCUGUCUGUUCCUUUUAGUUUCCAUUAAUGAAAAAUAAAACGACCUUCAGAUGGAGAAACAGGGAAACAGAAAGAUCUCUGGCUAGCUCCUAUGUCUGGCUACCAUGUAAUCAGUGCAAGUAUAAACAAGUCCAAUGUGUGGAAUUGGAUGGGAAAUUUACGAUCGGGCGUCUAGCCCUUGAAGGCUUUUGAAGUAUGAGAGCAACGCUUGAUGAAAUAUUGGAAGCCAGGAAAGACAGGGCAAUUUCAAAUAAUCUGGGACCGACUUCAUAACUUGCAGAACAAGAGUAAAAUAUAGACUUAGGAAAGCAUCAUCUGAUAUGCAAAACAUCUGGAGCAGAAACGGCGUAACUAAGAAUCCGUCUAAAGUUCCUUUGCUUCCAUGCCGUGUGGAUCGGAAAUGCCUUUAUUUCUAAAAGUGAGACAAUACCAUGUUUUGUCUAAGACAUUACAGACAUAAAAUAGUUCUAGCAGCAUAGGGAGGAAUGCGGCAUUUGAUUUAAACCAUUUUAAUUCCCACGCAGUGCAAGCAUCCAAGAAUCUAUUAAACUAUUAAAUUUCAGUUCUACUCCCCCAUA